rnacentral:rRNA from 1 species
GAUGAACGCUGGCGGCGUGCCUAAUACAUGCAAGUCGAGCGAACGGACGAGAAGCUUGCUUCUCUGAUGUUAGCGGCGGACGGGUGAGUAACACGUGGAUAACCUACCUAUAAGACUGGGAUAACUUCGGGAAACCGGAGCUAAUACCGGAUAAUAUUUUGAACCGCAUGGUUCAAAAGUAAAAGACGGUCUUGCUGUCACUUAUAGAUGGAUCCGCGCUGCAUUAGCUAGUUGGUAAGGUAACGGCUUACCAAGGCAACGAUGCAUAGCCGACCUGAGGGGGGGAUCGGCCACACUGGAACUGAGACACGGUCCAGACUCCUACGGGAGGCAGCAGUAGGGAAUCUUCCGCAAUGGGCGAAAGCCUGACGGAGCAACGCCGCGUGGGUGAUGAAGGUCUUCGGAUCGUAAAACUCUGUUAUUAGGGAAGAACAUAUGUGUAAGUAACUGUGCACAUCUUGACGGUACCUAAUCAGAAAGCCCCGGCUAACUACGUG